rnacentral:lncRNA from 1 species
GAUAUUGGUACUUCCAUGAAGAUAAAUAGAUAGAUAUGUAACUGUAUAGGGUACAAUUAUACUUAAGGGCACAAAAGCUAUUAAGCCUGUAUGCUGAAAGAAUACGCCGAAUACGUCCUACCACUUCAAAUAUUCACUCCAGAAAUUGAUCAAUCCAAAGCAAACCGAAUUGUUUUAUAAAUUUUUAGCCAGCCUCCUUUUCCCGCUUUCAACCUGUGUAAUUAUUUGUGGAGUGAAUAUUUGAAGUGGUAGGACAUAUUCGGCGGCUUCUUUCAGCAUACAGGCAUAAUAGCUUUUGUGCCCUUAAGUAUAAUUGCACCCUAUACAAUUAUUUAUCUACAUAAAUGUAUUUUACCUAAAAGGUUUUUAUAUGCUGGCUACCGAUAAAAUUCAUUAAUAUAUAUAUUCCUUCUUUUUUGGAGUUUUCCCUUUCUUCAUUCCAACGAAGAGUCUUGCUCGAAACGUUAAAAUCUCUCUCCUUUCACCGAGCGUCAAACUAAUAUAAUUCUUGUGCAAAUCCUCAUGUUCAUUUUUUUUUCACUUUUCGUUUUCUGAAUUGUUUGUUCACUGAAUUGGACAUACAUACAUACAUACAUACAUACAUACGUAUAUACAUACAUAGAUACAUACAUACAUACAUACAUACAUACAUACAUACAUACAUACAUACAUACAUACAUACGUAUACACAUACAUAGAUACAUACAUACAUACAUAUAUACAUACAUACAUACAUACAUACAUACAUACAACGCUCAUACAAGUCUAGAAUAGUUAGGGUGAAGGAUUGUGUGGCAUUUUAUUAGAUUAGGAAUCUGGCAACGAUUUCCGUUUCUCAUUUCUCCGCGUGCCCUGAGAAAGGGGUCAUAACCCCGAAAUAUUACAAUGAAACGCAAAACUUUAUCUGUCGUUUCUUGUAAGGAGCAUGCGAGUAGAUUCCUCAGACACCUCCCACUAAGUGGUUUUAUCAGAGGCAACCGUCAUUACACUCUUCCGUUGGAUUUCCAAUCGUGACCUGCUGAAAAUAAAGAUAUUUAACCGUCUCGUUCUAGGUCUAACCCGUGGUCCCCUACCGGUUGGUUCGGCCUGAACAAUCUCUCUUGUGAUUCUUUCCUGCGACAUUCUAACUACUUGUUCGUAGUACCAGAGCUGUGACCACACAAUGAGGAAAAGUAAUUAGGCGGUGAGCUGGCAGAAACGUUAGCACGCCGGGCGAAAUACUUAGCCGUAUUUCGUCUGUUUUUACGUUCUGAGUUAAAAUUCCGCCGAGGACAACUUUGUCUUUCAACCUUUCGGGGUCGAUAAAUUAAGUACCGGUUGCGUACUGGGAUCGAUAUAAUCGACUAGCACUCCCUACCCAAAUUUCGGGCCUUGUACCUAGAGCAGAAAAGAAUGAGAAAAAGUAGUGGCUCGACAUGAAGAGGUUUCUAUAUCUUACAGAUACGCACCCUGUCAAGUAAUGUUACUCCAGAGAUUCUUUGGCGGAACCCCAUUUCAGCUGCCGGUAUUCAUGAUUGCGCUCUUUUGGCUGAUUAUCGAAUAUUUACGGCACGAAAACCGAACAAAAGAUAGCAAGUUUGGAACUAAUCCUCUCUUCGUAAUCUCCCCCCAGAGAAGACCUAAACAUAUACGUUAACGGUGCCGCACAAUGAAAUUGAAUCAAGAACCACGCGAUUUCGAAUUAUUCUCUCAAAAGUAAUGCUCAUUUAUUUACAUUGUCUAGAAUUAGUCUUGCAUUAAUCUCAUAGCUUCAAAAUUUCAACGACCGCGAUUGCUUAUUUUUAGAAUGACAUUGUGGAGUAUGUGUGAGAGGCCAAAUCUGGCAGAUUUGAACAUUAAAAACAGCUACAAUAUUGGGCAGGAUAUGGUCAGUUUAAAUGCCAAAGCGUUAAACCUAUGUUUCUGAAAGAGAAUCAUGGAACCAAAAUCUUCGAAGAGUCAUGCAAAAUCCAACUCAUGAAAUAUUUCAUUGAAGUCGUUCGUAACAGAUUUGAAAGGAAUUCAUUUGGCCGGUCAGAAUGUCCAAGGGUGAUGUCCUGUUAAUAGCUUCGUGUCAUCUUCACGGUUUAGGUACUUACAUUUCCUUCACUUGAGACAUCACAGCUAUGUUGUAAACAGUAGAAGUGUCGAGAAUUAAAUGAGUGCUUCUUUCGCCUUUGGCUUGGAAUUUGAAAUCUCUCUCGUGUAACACUUAGAGAAGGAUGAUCUCUGUAUUACUUAGAACCACCUUUUCUCUCUUUCUCUGUGUGCAUGUGCAUACAUAUAUACAUACAUACAUACAUACAUACAUACAUACAUACAUACAUGCCAGCAUACAUACAUAUAUGCAUACAUUCAUGAAAGCAUACAUACAUAUAUACAUACAUGCAUGCAUACAUACAUACAUACAUACAUACAUACAUACAUACAUACAUACAUAUAUAUAUAUAUACAUGCAUAAGGCGGCGUGCCGGCUGAAUCGUUAGCACGCCGGGCGAAAUGCUUAGCAGUAUUUCGUCUGCCGUUACGUUCUGAGUUCAAAUUCCGCCGAGGUCGACUUUGCCUUUCAUCCUUUCGGAGUCCAAUAAAUAAGUACCAGUUACGCGCUGGGGUCGAUGUAAUCAAUUUAAUCCCUUUGUUUGUUCUUGUUUGUCCUUCUGUGUUUAGCCUCCUGUGGGCAAUAAAGGAAUAUAUAUACAUGCAUAUAUACAUACACACGCAUAUAUGUAUGUGGAGAGAGAGAGAGAGAGAGAGAGAGAGAGAGAGAGAGAGAGAGAGAGAGAGAGAGAGAGAGAGCAAAUGAAUAAAUAAGUAUGUAUAUAUGUAUAUAAAGGCGGUGAGCUGGCAGAAACGUUAGUACGCCGGGCGAAAUGCUUUGUGGUAUUUCGUCUACCGCUACGCUCUGAGUUCAAAUUCCGCCGAGGUCGACUUUGCCUUUCAUCCUUUUGGGGUCGAUUAAAUAAGUACCAGUUACGCACUGGGGUCGAUAUAAACGACUUAAUCCGUUUGUCUGUCCUCUCUGUGUUUAGCCCCUUGUGGGUAGUAAAGAAAUAAGUAUGUAUAUAUGCAUAUAUAUAUAGUGAAAAGGAGAAAGAAAAAAGAGUGAGAGAUAAGUAGAUGUAUAAAUACAUCGGUAUCGGCAUAGAUACACGCACGCACACACACACACGCUAACAUGCACAUAUAGUUCAAGUUUAUAGAAAACAAUAGAGGAAACAGGUGUAGAAACAACGAGCAGGUGUAUAAAUUUAACGCUCGAGAACAAUAGAAAAGUCUUUUACGUUUCGAGCCUAGGCACUUCGACAGAAAAUAUUGAGAGGGAAAAAUAUAACGGAGAGAGAAUGAGAAAAAAAGGAGAGAGAAAAAAUACGAAAACUUUCUUUAAGAAAUAUUCCUAUAACUCAAAUGGUAAUGGAAACCAAAACUCAAAAAAUGUCUUCAGUAAAACCUUGAAAUGCUGAAUCAAAACUACUUGAAAGGAACUAGCGAGAGGGCGUUUAACCGAGAGCUUUUGGAUGCAACUAGAAAAAUCUCUCAAACGACAUCCAAAAGUGUUCUAUAAAUAAAUACGAUAUUACAUAAGCAUUUUCAUGUAAACUAUUUCUGCGACCUCGCUCACUCCGGAAAUUAAUGGACAAGUGGCUGAGUACUCCGCAAGCACAUGUACCCUUAAUGUAGUCCUCAGAGAGAUUCAGCGAGACACUGAAUGUAAAAUGGCUGGCCCUUUGAAAUACAGGUACAACUCAUUUUUGCUAGCUGAGUGGACAGGAGUAACGUGAGAUAAAGUGUCUUGCUCAAGGACACAACUCAUGACCUUUCGAUUGUGAGUCGAAUCUUCUAACCACUAAGCCACGCGCCUUCCUGGAGGUUGAAUUAUUCCUGUUAGUUCACACACACACACACACACACACAUAUAUUUGUGUGUAUAUGUGUGUCUGAGUAUACACACGCGCGCUCGCACACAAACACGCAAACACAUUUUUUUCCUUUAUUCUUUUAUUUGUGUCAAUCAUCUGGCUUGCGCCACGCUGGAGCACCUCCUUGAUAUAUAUAUAGCAAAAGAACAUGUUAUAAUUCUAUUCCACAGCCACGCAUAUUUCCAUCAUCAGCUGCUCCACUGAUAUCAUUAUGGUUUCGACACCUGAGCAGUACCAUACAAUAUAUACAUAUAUAAUAUAUAUAAAUACUUUUAUUCUUUUACUUCUUUCAUUCACAGUACUUAUUCUUUAGAAGCCUAGGACUUAUUUUAUCGGUCUGUUUUGCCGAACCGCUAAGUUAUGGGGAUAUAAACACACCAACAUCGGUUGUCAAGUGAUGGCGCGGGGACAAACAUAAACACUCGCAUAUAUAUAUAUAUAUAUAUAUAUAUAUACACACAUAUAUAUAUAUAUAUAUAUAUACAUACACACAUAUACAUAUAUAUAUGUAUAUAUAUAUAUAUAUGUAUAUAUAUAUGUAUAUAUAUAUAUAUAUAUAUAUAUAUAUAUAUAUAUAUAUAUAUGUAUAUGUAUAUAUAUAUAUAUAUAUAUAUAUAUAUAUAUAUAUACAUACACACAGACAUAUAUAUAUACACGACGUGCUUCUUUCAGUUUCCGUCAACUAAAUCCACUUACAAGGUUUUGGUCGGUCCGAGGCUACAGCAGAAGACAUUUGCCCAAGGUGCUACGCAGUGGGACUGAACGCGGAACCAUGUAGUUGGGGAAAAGCUUCUUACCUCACAGAAGCGUUCACACCAAACGACAUUUCCGUCAAAACUCAACCUCUUUGUCAAUUUGUUGUUAUUGGCAAUGUUGCUUCCUUAACAAAUGAACAUCAUCGAUAGAAAGACUUCCCGGUCAAACAACAUCAUCUUCGUCACAAAAUCGAUCCUCUUUCAAUCAAUAUCGUUCUGAAAGCAAAUUCAUUCACUAAAAUCACAUUCCUAGUGAAAUCCCGAUCAAUCAUUGCAAACCGGUCAAGCCAAUAUUUUUGUCAAACCAGCAUCCUGCUCUGAAUAUCAUUUUCCUCAAAGCAGCGUCAUUGACAUGACAGUACCAGGGUCGACGUAAUAUCUUUACAAAUACGUCUUUCUUAAACAUGGCAAAUGCCAUCUUUCUGAAAGCAACGUCAUUGACAACACUGAAUCGUUUUCAAUGCAAUGUUGUUGCUAAAGUUACAUCUUUGUACAAACUAUUUUCUCUAAAGCAAAGUUAUUGACAAGGCAGUAUUGUUGACAACGUAAAACUUUUUUCAAAUUAACAUCAUUGUCUGUACAGCAUGUAUUAUCAAACCUAUACGCGCUUAUGAAAGCAAUAUCUUUGUCAUAUUAACAUCCAUUUUUUUCCUUAACGUCUCUGUCUCCAAAGCCCCACAGCAAUUUAUAUUCGUUGAUGAAGAUUGCAUGUAUUUUUACACAAAUGCACACAGAUAAACACUCGUACAUAAACACAUAGGAACAUAUAAGCAGGGAAUCCUCACAAAUUCUUACGAAACACACAAAUGUACACACAUGCUCGAGUAUUGACUCAGUUGUUAUUACACAUACAUGUAAAACCUGAUACGCACGUACGCACAGUAGUGUAGUUUGUAACUCUUACGUAAUAAUUAUUUCUAAUAUAGGCAGAAGGCCAACAAUUCUGAGGGGAGGGCCAAGUUGAUUGCAUCAACCUCAGUACUUGAUGAGGGCUUUAUUACAUCGACCCCGAAAGGAUAAAGGGCAGAGUUGACAAUGGCAGGAUUUGAACUGAAAAGCAGAAAUAAUCCUCUCCACUAUAGGCACAAAGCCUGACACUUGGGGGGAAGAGGCUAAUCGAUUACAUCGACCCCAAUGUUUAAAUAGACCCCGAAAGGAUAAAGGGUAGAGUUGAACUCGGCGGAAUUUGAACUCAGAACGUAAAAGCGGCGAAAUACCGCUAAGCAUUUGGCCCGGCCAGCUAAUGAUUCUACCAUACUCAGCAAUUUGUACGACGCGCUAAUGAUUCUGCCAGCUCGCAACCUGAAAUUUACAGUUCACACACACACACACACACACACACACACACACAGACACACACACGAAGGCAUAUAAGACAAAAUGGAGGCCCAAAUAGUUGUUAUUGUUAAGCGUCAGCUCUCUUCACAGGCGUUCCAGCCGUGCUCAUCUCGACUUUCUUUUUGUCAGACGUUAUGUUUUUUAGAACUACAUUAUCCCAUGUGGAAUAUUUGGCUGCUGUUUCUGGCAGGUUGAUCUACCAUAUAAUGCGAGCCUCUCUUUGGGUGGUUUCGUUGUAAUCAAUAAACGAGAUUUUAAAAAGUAAAAAUGUAUUCAGCUUCAAGUCAGCAGAAAGAGAGAGAGAGAGAGAGAGAGAGAGAGAGAGAGAGAGAGAGAGAGAGAGAGAGAGAGAGAGAGAAAAAGAGAAAAAGAGAGAGGAAGAGAGAGAGAAGGAGAGAGUGAGAGAGGGGGAGAGUUAUGUGCGCGCGCGUGCGUGUGUGGAGGAGAGAGAGGGAGAAAUUGAACAGAUCAUGACGUCAAUGUGAAGUGGUUGUCAUGACAAUUACAAACACAAAGGAACAAACUGUUAUCACACACACACACACACACACACACAUACAUAUAUAUAUAUAUAUAUAUAUAUAUAUACACAGGCACACAUAUGCGUACAUACACAGACAUACACAUGACCUUUCUCUCUCUCUCUCUCUCUCUCUCUCUCUCUCUCUCUCACACACACUCUUAUUAAUAUAUAUAACCGCAUCUACGCUCAUAUAAGUAUAUAUUUCUUUAUUGCCCCACAGGGGGCUAAACAUAGAGGAGACAAAGAAGGACAGACAAACGGAUUAAGUCGAUUAUGUCGACCCCAGCGCGUAACUGGUACUUAUUUAAACGAUCCCAAAAGAAUGAGAGGCAAAGUCGACCUCGGCGGAAUUUGAACUCAGGACGUAACGGCAGACGAAAUACCUAUUUCUUUACUACCCACAAGCGGCUAAACACAGAGAGGACAAACAAGGACAGACAAACGGAUUAAGUCGAUUACAUCGACCCCAGGGCGUACUUAAGAACUGGUACUUAAUUUAUCGACCCUGAAAGGAGGAAAGGCAAAGUCGACCGCGGCGGAAUUUGAACUCAGGACGUAGCGGCAGACGAAAUACUGCUAAGCAUUUCGCCCGGCGUGCUAACGAUUCUGCCGGCUCGCCGCCUGGACUGGAGCAAUGUAAAAGCGUCUUGUUCAAGGCUACAAUGCACUGCCAAGAAUCGAACUCGAGACAUUGCUAUCAUGAGCCGAAUACCUUAACCACAUGCCAUUCUCAGUAACAGCAGCGACACCUGGACGACAAAGCCGAUCCAAUUGGAGGGUCCUAAGACUGUCCAAAGUGUAAGUUGAUGGAAUCAGUUGAUUCAAUGAGUUAAUAUGGAAGGGAAAGUGAUUAGAUUUAAUUACGAUGUCAGCAUCGGAGUUGGGAAAGCGGGGAAUCGACGGGAGACCGUUUCGAGAGAAAUCCGGUCUUCAUUGAAGGACUCACGUCAGAUGUCAUCGGCUCAGUAUAAGUAUUAUUAGAACUCUACAUACACACAUAAACACACACACACACACACACACGCACACACGCACACACACACGCACAUCACACACGCACACGCACACACGCACACACACGGACACAUACGCACGCACGCACAAACACGCACACACACGCACACACAUGCGCGCACACAUACACACGCACAUACACACAUACGCACGCACACACACACACACACACACUCACACACGCACACGCUCACACACGCACAUCACAAAUGCGCACACGCACACAAACACACACACAUACGCACGCACACACGCAUGGACACACGCACACACGCAUGGACACACGCACACACGCAUGGACACACGCACACACGCAUGGACACACGCACACACGCAUGGACACACGCACACACGCAUGGACACACGCACGCACAAGAUGUAUUCAUUGAUAUAGACGCGCGCACAUACACACAUUUAUGCAUAUGUGUGUGUUUGUGUGUGUGUGUGUGUUUGUGUGUGUGUGUUUGUGCGUGUGUGUGUGUUUGUGUGUGUGUGUGUGUUUGUGCGUGUGUGUGUGUGUCUAAAUGUUUGUUUUUAUAUUCAGUUGUAAUGAAAACAAUUUCAUAUUUAAUCUGAUGGCUUUCUCUAUACUUUUCUUGGGUUCAAAAUUAUUAUUCUUAGACAAGAGUAUUAUUGAAAGUGACUUCGAAGUUUCGGCCAGUAAAUCCGUCGUCGCGCGACACUUUAACUUGCUCGACAUCCAAGUCACUGUUGAUGAUAUUCUUAUUCAAGAAUAAUACACACACACACACGCGCGCAUCAUAUCUAGCUAUAGCUUCAAGACUGCAAGUGAAGGCGCGUGGUCUCCUGGUUAGAAUAUUCGGCUCAUGACCGCAAGAUUGUGAGUUCGAUUCCCGGUAGCUCCGUAUGUCCUCUCGUUGCGUUGCUGCAGUCCUCUCAGGCGGCAAGAAGUAGCUGCACCUGUAAGUCAAAAGAUCCGGUCUUGUCACGCUCAAUCUUCCCCGAGGACUACCUUAAGGAUACUCGUGUCUGUGGAGUCCUCAACCACUUGCAAGUUAAUUUCACGAGCAGGCUGUUCCGUUGAUUGGAUCAACUAGGACCCUCGUCGUCGCAACCGACGGAGAGCCAGGUACAAGAACGGUUCACCAGUUAGGAAGUUCACUUCGCAAAAAUGCACUUUCGAGUUUAGCUCCAUUGCAUGGUAGUCCGGAAGGCGUCUUCUAUGGUAGUUCGGUUCCGCUUUAAAUAUUUCGAGUGAAUCUGGGAGGCGGAAACUGUGUAGAAGCCCAUCGUAUUUAUACAUACAAGCAUACAUACAUGGGCAUUCACAUACACACACAUACUUAAGUCCUUCACUCCCUAUGAAGCAUAGGCCAUCGACGACCUUCUCCCACUAUUUUCCUACUCUGGCUUGUCUUUCCCUGAGGGAAGGCCCUUCUUUGUCAGGCCUUGUUAAUUUUGAAUUGUUAUCGAUGCUUCUGUUACUUUAUUUUUUUUCCAAUUAGAAGCAUUGUUCCUAUGUAAAUCCAUUUUUAACUCUGGGACGAAGUGGUCCUUAUUAAUUUGGCCUGUAUCCUUUGACCUGUCCAGUAUAGGAGGCCUUACCAAGAGGUUGUGCUAUGCUGGCAUAACCUUCAGCGUCUUUGGGGCACACAAGCUACAGUACUGCAGCAAUGGCCUACAUCUCUGAAGAGUACGUGGUGCUAGUUUACCGUGCUGUUAUCUAAUAUCAGGUUAUCGAUAUCGGAUUCCCAGUGCGAAACCGAUUACUAAGAACGGUUGAAAUGAAUCUAUGAUACUGUUUAUACUUGUGUGUGUAUGUGCGUUUAAUAUAUAUAUAUAUAUAUAUAUAUAUAUAUAUAUAUAUAUAUAUAUAUAUAUAUAUAUAUAUAUAUAUAUAUAUAUAUAUAUAUAUAUAUAUAUAUAUUUGUGUGUGUGUUUUGUGUGUGUGUAUGUAAAUGAGGUUGGAAGGAAAGUCUUGGCAACCUUUGGUCUAGAAUGAGGAGAAACUGAGAGAGAAAAAUGUUCCAAGAAAAACUAAUCCGGGCUCUUAAAGCUUCAUUUCCGUUGUUAGAACGCACAUAUAUCACCGGAUCCAUUGCUGAGGGGCCUCUUUCCAAUUCAGUAUGCUGUGGCUGAUAGAAGUCCGAUUUAAAUUCAUUUUAAAAGGGUAAAAUCGAUAGGAAUUUUACCACAGUGGUAUAAAGUAAGGCGGCGAGCUGGCAGAAACGUUAGCACGUCGGGCGAAAUGCUUAGCAGUAUUUCGUCUGCGUUUCGUUGUGAGUUCAAAUUCCACCGAGGUCGACUUUGCCGCUCAUCCUUUCGUACCAGUUACGCACUGGGGUCGAUGUAAUCGACUUAAUAUCUAUGUCUGUCCUUGUUUGUCCCCUCUGUGUUUAGCCCCUUGUGGGUAAUAAAGAAAUAGGUAUAAAGUAAGCUGCAAAGAAUGAGAGAAAGAAACCUCAUUAGAACACAGAACUUAAUGCUUCUCCUGAUCUGUGUAUGGAAGAAGAACCUUCUCAGUGAUCGUUUCAAAAACGUGACAGGUCUUUCUUUCCCAUCUAACACACACAGUUGUCAUGCUUAUGUGGCAUGAGAUCCGUUCUGCCUGGCCGGAUUAUAGAUUACUGGUUGUGUUAUUGUUUUUGUUUGUUUGUUGUGUUUAAUAAAUAAAUGACAGGCUUCGGUUAUGUGGCUUGUUGUUGUAAUGAUAUGAGUUGGAAGGUGAAGGAAGGAUAGGCGUGCGACGGGAUAUGUCAGAAAUAUAGGAACCUUUAUAUAACAUACAACACAAUAAAUGUACGAAAUAGAUAAGUGAAGGAGUAAUUAUCGGCUUUAAUAGCGAAGAGAAAGAUAGACGGAUAGAUAGGUAGAUAGAUAGAGAAAUAGUAAGGGAGAGAGAGGUGUGAAGAGAGAGAGAGAGAGAGAGAGAGAGAGAGAGAGAGAGAGAGAGGUAUAAUGCUGAGAAAGUACUAAUAAUAAACGGAAGCUGAAGAUAAUGAAUGGUAUGAGUGAAGUUGAUAUCGUAUUUUAUCACAACUUUCACAGUGGUAUUGUUGCUUUUGUCACUUUUGUCUCCGGUUUAGUUAUAACUCGGAUUACAUUCUCCAGACACGCUGGACGAAAUGCUUAACGGAAUUUCACUCGUCGCUACGUUCUGAGUUCAAAUUCCGCCGAGGUCAACUUUGCUCGUCAUCCUUUCGAGGUCGAUAAGUUAAGAACCAGUGAAACACUGGGGCUGAUGUAAUCGACCAGUCUGCUCCCCACGAAAUUUCAGGCCUUGUGCGCCUAUAGUAGAAAGAAUUUAGAACUUAACGGUAUUUCACCCGUCGCAACGUUCUGAGUUCAAAUUCCGCCGAUGUCGACUUACCUUUUAUCCUUUCGGGGGUCAAUAAAAUGAGUCCCAGUCGAGCAUUGGGGGUUGGAUUCAAUGUAAUCGACUUAUCUCCUCUCCCGAAAUUGCUGGCAUUGUGCCAAAAAUUUGGAACCAUUGUUAUUAGUAAUAAGGCGGUGGGCUAAGAAAGCUCUAAGCAAGAUCAAGACAAGUGCUGGGCUACAACGGGGGGAGGGGGGUUAUAAUAAUCUGAGAUACGCAGACGAUACUGCUUUGUUUGCGGUCACAGAAGAGAAGCUUCAGGGAUUGAUUAAUAUCGGUGACCGAGGAGAGUGGAAAGCUUGGAUUGACGAUUAACUGCUAGAGAAACCUUCUGGAAGGUCUGUGCCAAGAAAGCACAGGUACCUGGAUGUCGCUUGAGGGUGAAUGGAACUGGGAUAGAGUAGAAGGACAGUUUCAUAAAUCUGGGAAUGGUCAGAUAAGGACAUCAAGUGCAGAAUUGGAUUAGCAAAGAAGGCUUUUGUGAAUAUGAGGACGCAUUCUUUGUGCAAAGAGAAUUGGAAUGGAGGUCAAGAAAAGACUGUUGAAUUGCUACAUCUGGUCGGUGCUAACGUAUUGAUGUGAGUCUUGGACAAUAAGCAAAGUCAUGGAGAAGAGACACAACGCUGCAGAAAUGUGGUUUUAUAGAAAAAUUGCUUAAAAUCUCGUGGGUACAGAGGGAGACGAAUGUGGAAGCGCUGAAGAAGAUGAAAGUGAAGAGACAGAUGAUGGAUAUUAUCAGAGGGAAACAGUGGAGAUUUGAUGGUCAUUUCCUCAGAGAGGCUGACGGAAUGGAGCAUUACAUGGUGGAAACUGAGUUGGUGGGAAGGAGAGCGAGAGGAAGGCAGAGAAUAAAUGAUGUUCGAAUGGAGGAAGAAGAGAAAAGAAGGUGCAGAGCGAGAAAGACCUGGGUGAUGUUGCAAGAGACAGAAAUAAAUGGAGGAGGAAGAAGCCAUGAUUCGUCAACGGCAGAAUAUUAUAAAUGCGAAACAAUACCACGGAGGAAUCGACGGAAGCUUAAAUAACAAACCGCGAUAGGCGAACAGCGAUAUGUAAACCGCGAUAUGGCAAGGGAUUAUUGUAUAUAUGUAUUAUACAUGUGAUGUAUAUGCAAUUAAGAAGCUUGCUUCCUAACCUCAUGGUUCUAGGUUCAGUCUCACUGCGUGGCACCUUAGGCAAGUUUCUUCUUCUAUAACCUCAAGCCGACCAAAGCCUUGUAAGUGCAUUUUUUUGUGUUUUGUCUGUGGAAAAAAAUUUCUUGCGUGAAACCGGUUCAUGGCGCAAAAAGGUUGGGAACGGCUGGUUUCAUCGACCCGUCUCUUAACUGUCCCUGGUGAGGCUGUAUAGGCUGCGAGAGAAUAACCUCUUGCAUUUUAGAAGGCCCUUGGUGUGGCCUAUACCUCCACUUAGAUAAUGUUUCAUCCGGUUUUGAUUUUCACUUUCUCUCCUUACCUGAAUUAGUAAACGUUCUGUGUUUGCUCCGGAAAUGUUUGUCAACCUGUAAAAAUGCCGGAGUUUUUUUUUUCUUUUGCGCAAUCUGUACAACAAAUUAUACAUGACAGACGUUUGCGACUGUCUCAUUUACGCAAUAAAUUUAAUUCUUUAAUUUACGAAAAGUAGAGACGGCUGAAGACUUAGAGAUAAACUCCUUAGCAAAGAUUAUUAUGAGAGCUGGCAGAAACGUUAGCACGUCGGGCGAAAUGCUUAGCGGCAUUUCGUCUGCCACUACGUUCUGAGUUCAAAUUCCGCCGAGGUCGACUUUGCCUUUCAUCCUUUCGGGGUCGAUUAAAUAAGUACCAGUUACGCACAGUGGUCGAUAUAAUCGACUUAAUCCAUUUGUCUGUCCUUGUUUGUCCUCUUGACGCUUUAGUAUUUCGUCCAUGAUGGUUAUUCGCUACCAGUUGACAGAGAAAUUAUUCACUAAGAUCCAGGUUUAUUUUGAACCUCAGUCUUUUUGUUAGCGUAAAAUGGAUCUAAUUGCAAUUUUCCUCACCACUCAUUAUCAAAGCUGUAAAAUAAAGAACAAACAAUUAAUAAGCAUAUUCUUUUACUUGUUUCAGUCAAUUGACUGUGGCCAUGCUGGAGCACCGCCGCUUUAGUCGAACAAAUCGACCCCGGGACUUGUUCUUUGUAAGCCUAGUACUUAUUCUAUCGGUCGUUUGUUACGCUAAGUUACGGGUACGUAAACACACCAACGUCGGUUGUCAAGCGAUGGUGGGGGAACAAACACAGACACACACACGCGCGCGCACACACACACACACACACACACACACACACACACACACACGCUCAUAUAUAUCUUUCAGUUUCCGUCUACCAAAUCCACUCACAAGGCUUUGGUAGGCAGGAGGCUAUGGCAGAAGAUACUUGCCCAAGCUGCCACACAAUGGGACUGAACACGGAACCAUGUGCCUCUAUGUUUAUAUAUGAAAAUAAGGAAUAAAUAAUCCAGCAACAAGUGGACAAGUUGUCAAAUUACUGAUAUAACCUGGUGAUACAAGUUGCCAAAAAUCAAUCAGUGAAAAUUCGAAAAAAGUUUUGACUCAACUCCAUUUAUCCAAAAAAUUUUGUCGAGGGUUAAAUAUUCCAGAAUUUAGAAUUUGUUGGUGGUGUUUAAUACUUGUCAUUCUGUAGAGGAAUCACGGAUCAGGGAUCAGGGAUCAUUCACCAAGGGCCAGAGAUAUUCAUAACUUGUGACUAGGGUUCAAUAUCUAAAAAAUAGUAUUUCGUUAGUGGUGGUCACUACAGAGGAAUUAUGAACCAGUCACCUCGUGCUAAAGAUAUUCCUUACAACACUGCAACUUGAUAUGUUUAUGGAACAUUAUUUGAAAUUCAAUUCCAGGAAUCAUCUUAUCUCGAUGGCUUUCUUAUUGAUUUCUUUAUGAUUUCCGGGUUUUUCCACCCGACCACUUAAGUUUUUGGUAAUAUUCCAAAUCUCACAAAGUAGGCGUUUGCUUGAAAAUCGAAACUUCCCUCAUCUUCUUGCUUCAAUCAUCUUCUUGCUUCAAACCAUAAUGGAAUUUGCAACACAAAGAUGAGACAAUUCGUGACCAGAAUCUCAUCGUGCCAAACUUUUGCCAUGCAUUGAACUCAAAACCUAGAUGUGCUUGUAUAUUUACAUUAUUGACCGAUAUUUGUCCUCAUCUUGUUUGUUGUUUCGGCUGAUAUACCCCCCAGUCUGCAUCAGGUGUCUUGAGGAAAUUUGGAACCUGGGUUCUCAUUCCUAAGGUAUUUUUCGAUGUUGUUCUUGUUAUUAUUAAUAUUAUUAUUAUUAUUAUUAUUAUUAUAAUUAUCAUUAUUAUUAUUAUUAUUAUUAUUAUUAUUAUUAUUAUUAUUAUUAUUAUUAUUAUUAUUAUUAUUAUUAUUAUUAUUAUUAUUAUUAUUCAGAUCAUUGCCUGGAAUCGAACUCGGAAUCUUGGUGUUAG